GUGGGCGUAGGACCCUCCGAGCCAGGUGCGGGAUAUAUUCUCGUGGUGCGCCGUUUUUUAAGCCCGUCGGAAAGGCGCAGUAUUUGGGUAGGAGUGACCCGAUUUUCCAGUGAGAUGAACCCGGUACCUCAGCUGGAAAUGCAGAAAUCACCCGUCUUCUGCGUCGCUCACGCUGGGAGCUGUAGACUGGAGCUGUAGACAGGAGCUGUUCCUAUUCGGGCAUCUUGGCUCCUCCUUGAAAACAAGCCCUGGAAAAACAAAGAAUGGAACACCCCUCCGCUGACUUCAACCAACUGCCUGCUGAUGCGGCCUGACUCCCAGCCCUUUUUGCAGUUUUGAAGUGACAAACUGACUAGGCUACAAAGUAUUCAACCAUGGGCUGGUUCUGGCUGGUUCACCGAGGCUGUGUACAAAGUGUCUUCAUGUCCUGUGUUUCACCUUUUAACAUACAGAACCUAAUUUUACUGCAUUUUAAUGUUAAUUCUCCACUCGAAGGUGAACAUGGGAUGUAUGUAACACAUAUGUUUGCUUAUCAAGCACACAUAUGACCCCCUUUCAUGAAUAUUCAUAGUUCCCCCUGUGACCUGUUGAAUAUGUCUGUUUAGCCAACCUGUUUGGCAUAAAACUCCUAUCCCACCCUAUCUCCCUCAAAGUACCUGUUUGUGGUCUCAGCUGGAGGUGCCACUUCCCAGCCUGCAGUUUGCAACCCUUCUCAAGAAAUAAAGUCUUCCUUUC
rnacentral:lncRNA from 1 species